rnacentral:misc_RNA from 1 species
AACAUCGCGCACCUGCGGGAACCUGCGGAAGGAUCAUUACCGAGUGAGGGCCCUCCGGGUCCAACCUCCCACCCGUGUUUAACGAACCUUGUUGCUUCGGCGGGCCCGCCUCACGGCCGCCGGGGGGCACCCCGCCCCCGGGCCCGCGCCCGCCGAAGACACCUGUGAACGCUGUCUGAAGUUGCAGUCUGAGACACUAGCUCAAUCAGUUAAAACUUUCAACAACGGAUCUCAGAUCGG